GUUUUCUCACAGUUGUCACUGCAACUCGCGGAUCAUUGCACCCAAGUUCCUGCCAGGAGGAAGAUCCUGCGCAGGUUGUGGGAUCAACUCUCGGUCAUGGUGGCCGGAUUUGCACAGGAGGCGAAAACUCUAUUGGCCUGUGUGCUCAAAUUUGAGUGCAUGUUAAAGAAACCGAAGUGGUCCAAAUUUCCAAAGCCCUCCACCACAGCACCUCUCAUAAAGCAUAUGGUGGUAAUGGGAUGUUAAACACCAGAUAUUAUUAGGUGGAAGAUACUAUUGCGCAGUUCUUUCUUUUAAUAUGCCCUGGUUGUGGAAGAUGCACAUUGCACAGCGGCAAUACAAGAUUUCAGGUCAUUAUAACAGGGACAUGCAUAAUGUUAGACUUUCACACAUGCAGAAGUGCCACACAUAAGCGAAAAUGCAGAUUAACAAAUAAACUGUUUCGAAUAUCUUUUGAGGUUAUCCCUUGAUGUGCAACUACUUACCAGUUACCAGUGCAAUGUGGGAUGUUGGUUGUGAAUUUAUUGAGUUUGUAGAACCAUUUUUAGCUGCAGUGUACUGAAAGCUUUCACUGUAUGCUAAGCAUCACUAUAUUUCCUAUCUGCAAGUCAUUGAAAAGGUUGUUGUUUCCUAGUGCGACUGUUAUUAUGAUACAACUGUGCACUAGUGAUGUAAUAAUCACAAUGAUUUUUUGAGCAAGCUACCUGCGAUAUGCACUGCAUUAUUAUAACUGUUGUGUACUUCUUUCUGUUUCUUUUUAAAGUAACAGCCAAUUCAAACACACAGCUUGUAAAGUCGUGAUUGAGCACAUGUUGCAUUUAAGUUGUCAAGGCGGUUGUGUGAGCUAGUUGGCUGUGAUCACUUGCACUCAUUUCGGUAGCGCAAAAAAUUAUGAAGCAGACACAAUAGAAGACACAUAGACUGGACGGGUGCUAGACAUCAACUGGCUUUACUGCAAGGAAACAUACAAAAACCAAGAACUGUUAAAAGGUCUCGCACGUGCAAGACCACACCCUUAGACAUGUGCAAGAUAUGCGUUCAGAUAUUCGAGCUCUACUGUGAAUGAGCAACCGAUUAAACACUGAUACGGUCGCUUUUAUUCACGCUGAUAGCAAACGCUUCUAUUAUUUCUCGCCUCGCCUGAUCCAUGCCUUUUCGAAGUACAUGUGUAGCAGCGAAUUCCCUAGCACAGACACACCUGCUGUAGUAGUCUGCCAAAUAUCCCCUCGCUGCCUGUGCGCAUCAACUGCUGCACAGUGCUAUAGCAAUCUGUCAUUAAGACCCUGUUUGUCGGAUGUGGCAUCUACCACAUGAAAGCGGCAUUUUGUACACGACAGCCAUCUCACAAGUCACAAACAAAGUUGCGUGCUUCUUAGUGCUGCACACACUGUUGCCUUUGUGCCCAUUCACCACCAACAAAAUGUAGGCCAAUUUUUCUGGGGCAGAAAAUUCCACUGGCACAUUGCAUUUUGCUGCCAGCUUCUUUAGUUGGUAGCAGAGCAGUGGAUGUAAGCCAAGGCCACUGGCUACAGACUCAGCCUGCUAGAGGACCUAGAGCGAGCUCGCCCUUCUUUCCUCACCUCCUGUAGAAGGACUUCGGCCACAGAAUUUAUGAGUUCCUUGGAGAAACCCGCCCUCUCGAUGCAUUCCAAUCAGUGCUGAAAACUUUUGGCAAUAAAGUGGUCACAUAACUUUGCAAGGGCAGCCCAAAGACAGUUGACAGCUAUACUCCCUUUUAUUAGUUUAGAAUAGGUUGUAUCGUACCUGUGCAUUCCUUUUGACCAUAGCCUGUAGCUUCAGCACACAUGCUUUUCAGACAUUUUAAAACGCACUUUGAGGAAUUUAAUUGAACUUUAUUUCGGCAAUUCAUGAGUGAACUUGAGGCCCUUUGAACCGGUGCCAAGCACAUUUAAAAUGCCCUGGACAUGUUUAUCUCGCACGUGAGGUUGCACCUCCCUUAGCACAACCAAAUAAUCAUCAACAGUACUAGUCUAAAAAUCUUCUCUCCAAGAGCCUGAUCAAUGUGUGCUGGAAUGCAUUUGUCACAGUCGGCUAAAAACAUUGUGCUUAAAAUUCAAGCUAUGCUUGAACCAAUACAUACACCCUCUCUUCAGUAUAAAAAACUGGUCAUUGAAAAAUACAAGGGUAUUAGCACACUAAAAAAGAUGGCAAUUUUCGCAAAACUUCUGGUCGAUAACCUGGAGGAGCUGUGAAAACUUAAAGGGUCCGACUCCUCGAUGGGGACCCUUAAACUCUGAGAAUGUCAUGCUAAGGAAUAGAAAAAAGAUCCUCAGCAUCAAUGGCAAAUGCAAAACUGACUUCUGAAGGGCUUCCAUUUAUUGAAAAAAAAAAAUUUUUCCUUGCAGUAAAGCAAGUUAAUGUCCAUCGCCCAUCCUGUCUAUGUGGCCUCUCUUGUGUCUGCAUCCUUAUUUUUUGCCCUACUGAAAUGAAUGCCAAUGAGCAUUUUAAGUUAUAACGCUCAUGAACUUGGAAGCAUUUGAUAGCCGUAGGCCUUAAUAUUAGAAUGCCAGUGCAGUUGACUGAAUUUGAUGAUUUUAAUCAAUGAGCAGCUGUGCUACAAACCAGUAAACGUGCUGGCGAUCACAUUAACAUCCGUCCAUUUUUUGUACAUAAAUAUAUCUUUUAAUCAGUCUUUGCAAUCAUGUAUAUAUUAUACACUUUUACACAAGGAAUGCGUUUGCUGCUCUUCAGAUAUUCAGCUUCAAUUUUAUGACUGCCUCUUGUGUAAACUCUCGAUGUAUUUUAAAAUGUCUAAAGAGUGGAUGUUUCAGAGCGGCACUGAAGCUGUAAGUUCUGUUAUAUUUUAUCUGAAUCCUGUGUUAUGUCUUCAAAUGAUGGCUGCUUUAUACAGAGUGGUCUGUCUGUACAACAAAAACAAAGUGAGACUUCGAGAUCUGUUUUUGUGAUUUGGUGCCCUUAUAGAUGGUUUAUCACUUGUACAAUAAAAUCACAAUGUCUACAUUUGAGA
rnacentral:lncRNA from 1 species